rnacentral:rRNA from 1 species
CUUGGUCAUUUAGAGGAAGUAAAAGUCGUAACAAGGUUUCCGUAGGUGAACCUGCGGAAGGAUCAUUAAUGAAUUUAGGAGGUUUGCUGUGCCGUCUUCACGGAAUUGUGCACGCUUACCUCUAUAAUCCUUAUCAACACCUGUGCACCUUUCUAGGGAGAACGAUAGGUUUCACGACCUAUCAUGACCUCUAUAUACACACUCUUUAUGUCAAUGAAUGUUACUUGGCCGAAAGGCUAGAAUUAUAAACAACUUUUAACAACGGAUCUCUUGGCUCUCGCAUCGAUGAAGAACGCAGCGAAAUGCGAUAAGUAAUGUGAAUUGCAGAAUUCAGUGAAUCAUCGAAUCUUUGAACGCACCUUGCGCUCCCUGGUAUUCCGGGGAGCACGCCUGUUCGAGUGUUAUGAAACUAUCAAGAAAAAUUGGCUUUAUUGUUGAUUUUGAUUGGAUUUGAACUUUGACGUUGAUCUAGGUAGAGGGUUACUCCUCUGCUCUGUAAUACGACUAGUUUUAAAAGUAUAAGCAGGCUCUGGUUUUUUAAUUACCAUGGUUCUACUCAGCGUGAUAAUUAUCUAUCGUUGAGGACACUUUUAUUAGUGGCCAUGGUCCCAAGAGUUGCUCUCUAAUCUCUGUGAUCAGUUGCAAAACUGAUUUCAUUCAUAUCUGGCCUCGGAUCAGGUGGGACUACCCGCUGAACUUAAGCAUAUCAAUAAGCGGAGGA